rfam:Callithrix jacchus chromosome 4, whole genome shotgun sequence
AAAAAGGCCCUUUUUAGGGCCCCCAAGCUUUCAACAAGAGUUGAAAU